rnacentral:rRNA from 1 species
ACGGGUGAGUAACACAUCGGAACGUGCCCAAUCGUGGGGGAUAACGCAGCGAAAGCUGUGCUAAUACCGCAUACGAUCUACGGAUGAAAGCAGGGGAUCGCAAGACCUUGCGCGAAUGGAGCGGCCGAUGGCAGAUUAGGUAGUUGGUGAGGUAAAGGCUCACCAAGCCUUCGAUCUGUAGCUGGUCUGAGAGGACGACCAGCCACACUGGGACUGAGACACGGCCCAGACUCCUACGGGAGGCAGCAGUGGGGAAUUUUGGACAAUGGGCGAAAGCCUGAUCCAGCCAUGCCGCGUGCAGGAUGAAGGCCUUCGGGUUGUAAACUGCUUUUGUACGGAACGAAACGGUCUUUUCUAAUAAAGAAGGCUAAUGACGGUACCGUAAGAAUAAGCACCGGCUAACUACGUGCCAGCAGCCGCGGUAAUACGUAGGGUGCAAGCGUUAAUCGGAAUUACUGGGCGUAAAGCGUGCGCAGGCGGUGAUGUAAGACAGUUGUGAAAUCCCCGGGCUCAACCUGGGAACUGCAUCUGUGACUGCAUCGCUGGAGUACGGCAGAGGGGGAUGGAAUUCCGCGUGUAGCAG